CGUUGGAUUAGCUAGUUGGUGGGGUAAAGGCCUACCAAGGCGACGAUCCAUAGCUGGUCUGAGAGGAUGAUCAGCCACAUUGGGACUGAGACACGGCCCAAACUCCUACGGGAGGCAGCAGUGGGGAAUAUUGGACAAUGGGCGCAAGCCUGAUCCAGCCAUGCCGCGUGUGUUAUUAAUGCCUUAGGGUUGUAAAAGCACUUUCACCGGAGAAGAUAAUGACGGUAUCCGGAGAAGAAGCCCCGGCUAACUUCGUGCCAGCAGCCGCGGUAAUACGAAGGGGGCUAGCGUUGUUCGGAAUUACUGGGCGUAAAGCGCACGUAGGCGGAUAUUUAAGUCA
rnacentral:rRNA from 1 species